UUCGUUGUAAUUCAAGAUGAAUUUCCAAAAUUUAAGACUUGUCUUUUUGCUUUAAAAUGGUCUUAACAAAAUCUUAUCUGCGUUACGUCGAAGCUGGAAUCGUUGGCGUAGUGGGAAGUGCUAGAGCUAAUGUGUGUCUUGUUCAAAGUGGCGAGAAAAGACGUGAAAUUUGCCGCGCGAUUGUUCCCGCACUAGAAAAUGUAUAUAUUUGGGACGCUAGACUUGGCGAAAAAGUGAAUGUCUUUCAAGGUAACAAGAGCGAAGUGACAUGUCUCUGCCUCAGUCCUGACUCUGAACAUCUUGCUGUUGGUAUGGCGAUGGUGUCAUCAGAAUUUGGAAUAUAAAUAAUGGUACAUCCUCAGUGACAUUUAGGUUAAAAGACUUAUGGUGAAAAGACUCAUGGUGAAAAGAUUCAGGUGAAAAGAUUCAGGUGAAAAGAUUCAGGUGUAAAGGCUCAGGCAAAAAGAUCGAAGACUUCUGGGGACCUUCCAAGACGAUUCUUGGUGACAUGAGCUUCCUAAAAAGUCUACACACUUACGAUAAGGAUAACAUUGCACCAAGCAUUGUGAAAACCAUCCGUCAGAAGUACACCUCGAAUCCGGAAUUCGAUCCCGAUAAGAUCAAGACUGCGUCCACUGCUGCCGAAGGCUUGUGUAAAUGG